GACGUAGGAUCCGAGCGUUGUCCGGAGUUACUGGGCGUAAAGCGCUCGCAGGUGGUUCAUUGCGUCGUGCGUGAAAGACCCCGGCUCAACUGGGGAGGGUCGUGCGAAACGGGUGAACUAGAGGCCAGUAGGGGGAUGCGGAAUUCCGGGUGUAGUGGUGGAAUGCGUAGAGAUCCGGAGGAACACCAGCGGCGAAGGCGGCAUCCUGGACUGGUCCUGACACUCAGGAGCGAAAGCGUGGGGAGCGAUCCGG
rnacentral:rRNA from 1 species